rnacentral:rRNA from 1 species
GAUGAACGCUGGCGGCGUGCCUAAUACAUGCAAGUCGAGCGAACAGACGAGGAGCUUGCUCCUCUGACGUUAGCGGCGGACGGGUGAGUAACACGUGGAUAACCUACCUAUAAGACUGGGAUAACUUCGGGAAACCGGAGCUAAUACCGGAUAAUAUAUUGAACCGCAUGGUUCAAUAGUGAAAGACGGUUUUGCUGUCACUUAUAGAUGGAUCCGCGCCGCAUUAGCUAGUUGGUAAGGUAACGGCUCACCAAGGCGACGAUGCGUAGCCGACCUGAGAGGGUGAUCGGACACACUGGAACGGAGACACGGUCCAGACUCCUACGGGAGGCAGCAGUAGGGAAUCUUCCGCAAUGGGCGAAAGCCUGACGGAGCAACGCCGCGUGAGUGAUGAAGGUCUUCGGAUCGUAAAACUCUGUUAUUAGGGAAGAACAAAUGUGUAAGUAACUAUGCACGUCUUGACGGUACCUAAUCAGAAAGCCACGGCUAACUACGUG